AUUGAACGCUGGCGGUGUGCUUCACACAUGCAAGUCGAACGGAGUAGCAAUACUCAGUGGCGGACGGGUGAGUAACACGUGGGAAUCUACCAUUAGGUGGGGAAUAACAGGCCGAAAGGACUGCUAAUGCCGCAUAUGUAGGCAUCUCGACAGAGAUGUUUAUGAAAGGAGUAAUCCGCCUUUUGAUGAGCCCGCGUCCGAUUAGCUAGUUGGUAGGGUAAAAGCCUACCAAGGCGACGAUCGGUAGGUGGUCUGAGAGGAUGAUCACCCACAAUGGGACUGAGACACGGCCCAUACUCCUACGGGAGGCAGCAGUGGGGAAUUUUACGCAAUGGGGGAAACCCUGACGUAGCGACACCGCGUGAGCGAAGAAGCCCUUUGGGGUGUAAAGCUCUGUCAACAGGAACGAAACAAAUGACGGUACCUGUGGAGGAAGCAUCGGCUAACUACGUGCCAGCAGCCGCGGUAAGACGUAGGAUGCAAGCGUUGUCCGGAUUUAUUGGGCGUAAAGAGUUCGUAGGCGGUUUGUUAAGUCUGAUGUUAAAGACCGGGGCUCAACCUCGGAAAUGCAUUGGAUACUGGCAGACUGGAGUGCAGUAGAGGCUAGUGGAAUUCCCAGU
rnacentral:rRNA from 1 species